rnacentral:rRNA from 1 species
UGGGGAAUAUUGCACAAUGGGGGAAACCCUGAUGCUGCAACGCCGCGUGAGUGAUGAAGGUCUUCGGAUCGUAAAGCUCUGUCUUCAGGGACGAUAAUGACGGUACCUGAGGAGGAAGCCACGGCUAACUACGUG